GACGAACGCUGGCGGCGUGCUUAACACAUGCAAGUCGAACGAUGAAGCUGGAGCUUGCUCCGGUGGAUUAGUGGCGAACGGGUGAGUAACACGUGAGAAAUCUGCCCUUGACUCUGGGAUAACUGCGGGAAACUGUAGCUAAUACCGGAUACUUUCCCUGGUGGGCAUCCACUGGGGAAGAAAGAAUUUCGGUCAAGGAUGAUCUCGCGGCCUAUCAGCUUGUUGGUGAGGUAAUGGCUCACCAAGGCGACGACGGGUAGCCGGCCUGUGAGGGUAACCGGCCACACUGGGACUGAGACACGGCCCAGACUCCUACGGGAGGCAGCAGUGGGGAAUAUUGCACAAUGGGCGCAAGCCUGAUGCAGCAACGCCGAGUGAGGGAUGAAGGCCUUCGGGUUGUAAACCUCUUUUAGCAGGGAAGAAGCGAAAGUGACGGUACCUGCAGAAAAAGCACCGGCUAACUACGUGCCAGCCGCCGCGGUAA
rnacentral:rRNA from 1 species